rnacentral:rRNA from 1 species
AUGGCGGGAGAGGAGCAGCCCCUGACGGAGUACGAGAAGCAGCGGCUGGCGCGGAUACGGGAGAACGAGGCCCGCCUCCAGGCCCUCGGCAUCCGCCGCCUCGCGGCGUCCCCCCUCCUCAACCAGCCGUCCUCGGCGGCGGCGGCGGCGGGGGCCAAGAGAAAACAGAAGAAACGAUCCGACGAUGCGGAUGAGGAAUACCUCCCGUCGGACGGGGGCGGCGGCGAGGAGGGGGAGGAGGAGGAGGGCUCGUCGGUCAGUGACCAAGACUCCGACGAGGAGUUCAAGCCUUCCUCUAGGUCUAACCAAAAGGGAAGGGCAAAGAAGAAAAUGAACUUGGGAAGCUCUUCUAAAAGUACUGUUAGAGAAGAAGAAGGUGCUCCCUUCACCGAUUUUAUGGAUGAUGACGCAGCCUUACAACAGGCGAUUGCGCUCUCCCUGGCAGAACCUUCAAAAAGUUCUGUGACGACAACAACAGAACCUUCAAAAAGUUCCGUCACGACAACAACAGUUGCAGAAACUUCGAGCAGAGGAGCCAAAGGACGAAAAAGCACGCCGUGCAAAGAUGACAAUACCACACCUGUUAAGGAUUCCGCUAAAAAUAGGAAGACAAAGAAGCAGGUCAGGAGCAGAAUUCAACUGUCGGAAGAUGAUGUGGUGGCAAUAUUCUUCUCAUUUGAUGAAGCUGGAAAAGGAUACAUCGCACCAUGGGAUCUUGAAAAAAUGGCCAAUAUAAAUGAUUUCAUCUGGACAGAUUUUGAGCUAUCUAAGAUGAUCCAUUGCUUUGACAGUGACAAAGAUGGAAAGAUAAGCCUUGAGGAAUUCCGCACCAUCGUGUCUCGAUGCAACAUGUUGCAAGAGCCGGAGUGA